rnacentral:rRNA from 1 species
GACAGAGGGUGCAAACGUUGCUCGGAAUUACUGGGCGUAAAGCGCGUGUAGGCUGACUCGUGUGUCGGGCGUGAAAUCCCUGGGCUCAACCCAGGAACUGCACUCGAAACUCCCGAGCUAGAGUCCUGGAGAGGAAGGCGGAAUUCUCGGUGUAGAGGUGAAAUUCGUAGAUAUCGAGAGGAACAUCGGUGGCGAAGGCGGCCUUCUGGACAGCGACUGACGCUGAGACGCGAAAGCGUGGGGAGCAAACAGG